GACGAACGCUGGCGGCGUGCCUAAUACAUGCCAGUCGAGCGGACCGAACAGGAGCUUGCUCUUGUUCGGUUAGCGGCGGACGGGUGAGUAACACGUGGGUAACCUGCCCGUAAGACCGGGAUAACUCCGGGAAACCGGAGCUAAUACCGGAUAACACCGAAGACCGCAUGGUCUUUGGUUGAAAGGCGGCUUCGGCUGCCACUUACGGAUGGGCCCGCGGCGCAUUAGCUAGUUGGUGAGGUAACGGCUCACCAAGGCGACGAUGCGUAGCCGGCCUGAGAGGGUGACCGGCCACACUGGGACUGAGACACGGCCCAGACUCCUACGGGAGGCAGCAGUAGGGAAUCUUCCGCAAUGGACGAAAGUCUGACGGAGCGACGCCGCGUGAGCGAAGAAGGGCUUCGGAUCGUAAAGCUCUGUUGUUAGGGAAGAAGAAGCGUCGUUCGAACAGGGCGGCGCGGUGACGGUACCUAACGAGAAAGCCCCGGCUAACUACGUG
rnacentral:rRNA from 1 species